GAUGAACGCUGGCGGCGUGCCUAAUACAUGCAAGUCGAGCGAACAGACGAGGAGCUUGCUCCUCUGACGUUAGCGGCGGACGGGUGAGUAACACUUGGAUAACCUACCUAUAAGACUGGGAUAACUUCGGGAAACCGGAGCUAAUACCGGAUAAUAUAUUGAACCGCAUGGUUCAAUAGUGAAAGACGGUUUUGCUGUCACUUAUAGAUGGAUCCGCGCCGCAUUAGCUAGUUGGUAAGGUAACGGCUUACCAAGGCAACGAUGCGUAGCCGACCUGAGAGGGUGAUCGGCCACACUGGAACUGAGACACGGUCCAGACUCCUACGGGAGGCAGCAGUAGGGAAUCUUCCGCAAUGGGCGAAAGCUUGACGGAGCAACGCCGCGUGAGUGAUGAAGGUCUUCGGAUCGUAAAACUCUGUUAUUAGGGAAGAACAAAUGUGUAAGUAACUAUGCACGUCUUGACGGUACCUAAUCAGAAAGCCACGGCUAACUACGUG
rnacentral:rRNA from 1 species